CGAAUAUCGGGGACUUGGUUUAGCGCUGUGCUUCUGCACGCCCUAUGCCGGUCCUGUCUGAAUAUUGCCCUGUUUUUUGCGCACUCAAUUGUUUCCUCGGCAGGCUUGCCUGUCAGUAGGACCCUUUUUACAUUCUUUGAAAUAGCAGUUAGCAUCAGAAAACUAUAAUAGUUA
rnacentral:misc_RNA from 1 species